GUUUUUACGAAUAGGUGAAAUAAGAGAGUGGGGGUGUCUCUUAAAGUGAGUAAAUAUGGGCUGCUCCAAUUUUAUAAUCAUCAUCAUCAUCAGUAGGGUGUGUUUAGGAAUAUGUGACAUAAGAGAGUGGGGGUGUCUCUUAAAGUGAGUAAAUAUGGGCUGCUCCAAUUUUAUAAU